UGGGAGGUUUUGGGAUCUGGAACGGAGGUGUAGAUUUAAAGAUACUUUUUACUAACAUCAUAUCUGUGUUACUUUGCUAUCCAUGCUUAGAAUUACAACAUACGCAUAGUCUAGGUUGCUCUAGAUUGGUUACCUUUGCUCUAUUUGUUAUCUUUCUGUAGAUGCUUAGUAGAUUGGAUCUGAAUCUCUCAUAAACACCAAGUUAAUACUAACAAUGCUAGUUGAAAUAGAUCUUCUGUUAUAAGUUCCAUGGAUUGAUAAACCUUGGGGGAAUACUCUAAGGGAUGAGGUACAACUGAUCUAUACGCUUGCGGUUCACAAAUUGGUGUGCUAAUAGCCGUCAACAAGCUUUUCUGGAGCCGUUGGCCGGGAACUAAAAGUCAAGUUCUAGUUUAACUAUGCAUCUGUAGAUAUAACUUUUUGUUCAUGAUUUUUCAGUCUUUUCUUUUUAAUCUUUUUGUUUUUUUGCAAUCUCAAUCAAAAUUUCAGAUCUAGUUCUUGUAU
rnacentral:lncRNA from 1 species